AUUGAACGCUGGCGGCAGGCUUAACACAUGCAAGUCGAGCGGGGGAAGGUAGCUUGCUACCGGACCUAGCGGCGGACGGGUGAGUAAUGCUUAGGAAUCUGCCUAUUAGUGGGGGACAACAUCUCGAAAGGGAUGCUAAUACCGCAUACGUCCUACGGGAGAGAGCAGGGGAUCUUCGGACCUUGCGCUAAUAGAUGAGCCUAAGUCGGAUUAGCUAGUUGGUGGGGUAAAGGCCUACCAAGGCGACGAUCUGUAACGGGUCUGAGAGGAUGAUCCGCCAAACUGGGACUGAGACACGGCCCAGACUCCUACGGGAGGCAGCAGUGGGGAAUAUAGGACAAUGGGGGGAACCCUGAUCCAGCCAUGCCGCGUGUGUGAAGAAGGCCUUAUGGUUGUAAAGCACUUUAAGCGAGGAGGAGGCUACUUUAGUUAAUACCUAGAGAUAGUGGACGUUACUCGCAGAAUAAGCACCGGCUAACUCUGUGCCAGCCGCCGCAGUAA
rnacentral:rRNA from 1 species